GCGAAAGUGGCGGAAUUGGCAGACGCCCUGGAUUUAGGUUCCAGUGCCGCAAGGCGUGCGGGUUCGAGUCCCGCCUUUCGCACCA
rnacentral:tRNA from 3 species